GCCACGCAUCGUAUUUCUCACUUGUUUUUUUUUCUUUUUCACAGAACGUAUUUCUCACUUGUAGGUCAAAGUACGUGCUGUUUGUCCAUCCAUCAGAGCAAAAUAUGUACAUCUAAUAUUCCUGCCAUAGCAAAAAGUAGGAGAAGGCUAUUGUUUUCCCCAAAUCACGCCGACAACAAAAUCCCCUUUCUUUAUUGUACUGUUCACUCUACGCGGCUGUGAUUUGGGUAGGGUGGGCAGGGGAGAUCCCAGGAGGACGCGUCGUGCUGCUCGACAUCGUCAUGGCCGGCGCGGCCGGGGCGAUGGUGCUGGAGGUUGGUGGUGCGGAGGAGGCGGUGACUGACCUGACGAAGGGUGCACAGGUUCGCGGAUUUCCCAGCGAUUUGGUGCGUGCCGAUCUUCCAAGCCAUUCUGACCGAGGAGGGGACCGGGCGUUCGAGCAGCUGUUCUUGCUCCGGCCACCAGCGAGACCGGAUCUCGCCGUCGCUGAUAAGGAAAGGCGGAUGCCAGUCGCCUGGGAGGUCACGGGUGCUGGCAGAGAGCUUUGGCGUUGCGUAGAAUGGCCUCUCGUUCCUUGUCGCUUAGGUUGAUGAAGAGCGACAGAUUUCCCAUCCAAUGAGUGUUGAGAGAUCUCAUGGAGGAUGGAGUACCGGUUCAUGGAUUUACUGGACAAAAUUGUUCUACUGGGUCAAGCUGUUGGUGCUAGGGCAUCAAUGCCAAGGUGGCAUAGGACAGAAAAUAAUUGUUGACCAAGGCAAGCUAAUGGAGAAUGACUGGAUCCUGAGGCACAGUACAGAUGGUGGACUACUGCUAUGGUCUAUUAGAGGUGUGGGGGUAACAGAGGCAGAUUCAUAUGAGGAGAUAGCGAAAUAAAUAAAUAGCACCAAGAUGUGAGCAACAUGUUUGGCCGGCCAUUAUGUUGUUGCCCUCCUCAUUGUCGGUGUUGUUGGACUUCUACCAGAUUAACAAUGGAUAUUAUUUUACCGCGCCCUAGAUCCGACUUUUCAUCUUCAUGCCUUCCUAAUUGUUUGUACUGCUGGACUUUUACCACUCUGGGCGUCCUGGUUUUUUCGGCGUGUGUUUGGAUUGAGGCUUUGUUCUGUUGGGCGUCGCAGCGUCGGGAGUGCAUAUUGGAUGCUUCAGUACCUGCAAUCCAUCGUGGGUGCAUAUUGUACUUUAGUACCUUCAAUCCGCCGACGUGACGAACACGUACUGAAUGCUUGCUUCUAUCGUGCUGGCUGGCAAUGGCGGCGUGUGUGUGUUUAUGCUGCUUGGGGGCUGGUCGUCGCUGGCUGGCCAGCAAGUUUCGUAUGGACAUAUGAUACGUGUACGUGUUCUUGUCCAAUUGAAGUUGUGUGUCUGCUAGAAAUCAAUCACGGCAUGCAAAUCAAUUAGGCAAUGCAUGAAUACGUGUCUGUGUGUUUCUCUUGUAUAUGAGGCAUGCAGACUUGACCAAAGCCGGCCGACUGGGUAUGGUCGUGUGUUUUAUGUUCA